rnacentral:rRNA from 1 species
AUUGAACGCUGGCGGCAUGCUUUACACAUGCAAGUCGAACGGUAACAGGCCUUCGGGCGCUGACGAGUGGCGAACGGGUGAGUAAUGCAUCGGAACGUGCCCAGAGGUGGGGGAUAACGCAGCGAAAGCUGUGCUAAUACCGCAUAUUAUCUGAGGAUGAAAGCGGGGGACUAAGCAGCAAUGUUUGGCCUCGCGCCUUUGGAGCGGCCGAUGUCAGAUUAGGUAGUUGGUGGGGUAAAGGCCUACCAAGCCGACGAUCUGUAGCUGGUCUGAGAGGACGACCAGCCACACUGGGACUGAGACACGGCCCAGACUCCUACGGGAGGCAGCAGUGGGGAAUUUUGGACAAUGGGCGCAAGCCUGAUCCAGCAAUGCCGCGUGCAGGAAGAAGGCCUUCGGGUUGUAAACUGCUUUGUACGGAACGAAAAGGCUCUGGUUAAUACCUGGGGCUCAUGACGGUACCGU